AAUCAACGCUGGCGGCGUGCCUAACACAUGCAAGUCGAACGAGAAGGUGACUUCGGUCACUGGAUAGUGGCGUCCGGGUGAGUAACACGUAGGUAAUCUACCUUCGGGUGGGGAAUAACGUCUCGAAAGAGACGCUAAUACCGCAUAAUGCAGCGGCACCUAAUGGUGAUUAGUUGUUAAAGCGGGGGAUCUUCGGACCUCGCGCCUGAAGAGGAGCCUGCGGCAGAUUAGCUAGUUGGUGAGGUAAUGGCUCACCAAGGCUUCGAUCUGUAGCUGGUCUGAGAGGACGGCCAGCCACACUGGCACUGACACACGGGCCAGACUCCUACGGGAGGCAGCAGUGGGGAAUAUUGCGCAAUGGGCGAAAGCCUGACGCAGCAACGCCGCGUGAGGGAUGACGGCCUCGG
rnacentral:rRNA from 1 species